UGUAGUUAGUCUUGUCUUUAGUUUCUUUUUAGGAUCUAUCUUUUGGGCCAUGUAAUGAUGUUGACUGAUUGACUGUUGUAUUUUGAUAUUUGUAUUGGAACAACUAUGUGGUAUCAGUCACUUUUUGAUUAUAUAUAUAUACUCUUUGACCUUCCAUGAAUGACCUUCAAAUUGAGUUACUUUCAAUUAUGUGCAUUCUUAAAAUACUAUGAAUUGCAAUAUGCUAUCC
rnacentral:lncRNA from 1 species